rnacentral:rRNA from 1 species
UACGGAGGGUGCAAGCGUUAUCCGGAUUUACUGGGUUUAAAGGGUGCGUAGGUGGGUCUGUAAGUCAGUGGUGAAAUCUUCGAGCUUAACUCGGAAACUGCCAUUGAUACUAUAGGUCUUGAAUCAUCUGGAGGUGAGCGGAAUAUGUCAUGUAGCGGUGAAAUGCUUAGAUAUGACAUAGAACACCGAUUGCGAAGGCAGCUCACUACGGAUGUAUUGACACUUGAGGCACGAAAAGCGUGGGGGAUCAAACAGG